UGGGGAAUUUUGGACAAUGGGCGAAAGCCUGAUCCAGCCAUGCCGCGUGAGUGAAGAAGGCCUUCGGGUUGUAAAGCUCUUUUAGUCGGAAAGAAAGAGUUGCAAUGAAUAAUUGUGAUUUAUGACGGUACCGACAGAAAAAGCACCGGCUAACUACGUGCCAGCAGCCGCGGUAAUACGUAGGGUGCGAGCGUUAAUCGGAAUUACUGGGCGUAAAGGGUGCGCGGGCGGUCUUGCAAGUCAGAUGUGAAAGCCCCGGGCUUAACCUGGGAAUUGCGUUGGAAACUACAAGGAGAGAGUGCAGCAGAGGGGAGUGGAAUUCCAUGUGUAGCAGUGAAAUGCGUAGAGAUGUGGAAGAACACCGAUGGCGAAGGCAGCUCCCUGGGUUGACACUGACGCUCAUGCACGAAAGCGUGGGGAGCAAACA
rnacentral:rRNA from 1 species